UCAAAUUUUUGUAAUUUGGCAGAUCCUGUAUCUGGACAUGACAAAUUUCAGCUGGAAAAAUAUGUUGUGAAAAAUCUUUCAGAUGCCACAUCACAACUGGGGCCUCUGUUAAAGCCAAAAGUGCAGCUGGACCAUAUUAUUACAUAGCUAUUUUAUUUGCAUUCCUGACCCGUAAGGACCUUGUCCAGAGACUUCAGCCCCUCAAGGCUACAGAUUUCCCUGCAUUUUGGUAAUACCAGUCCCUUCCUCCUUCUCUCAAGGGAUGGUCAUUGUUUAUAAUUGUUGCCUCCUGGAUGAUCAGCCAUUCUGUCUAGUUUCUUUACAGCCUGACCACACAUCUUCAUUAAAAUGUUUUCAAUUCAA